rnacentral:rRNA from 1 species
UACGUAGGGUGCGGAGCGUUGUCCGGAAUUAUUGGGCGUAAAGAGCUUGUAGGCGGUUUGUCGCGUCUGCCGUGAAAAUCCGGGGCUCAACCCCGGACUUGCGGUGGGUACGGGCAGACUAGAGUGUGGUAGGGGAGACUGGAAUUCCUGGUGUAGCGGUGAAAUGCGCAGAUAUCAGGAGGAACACCGAUGGCGAAGGCAGGUCUCUGGGCCACUACUGACGCUGAGGAGCGAAAGCGUGGGGAGCAAACAGG